UAAUCCGGACGAUCGAAACGUUUUCGCCAUUUACGUCUCGUACUACGUCAAAGUGAAACUGGUGGUCAGCAUGAUGGGAGGAGAAGUCAACCUGAAAUUGCCCUUCACCCUAAUGCAUACGUGUUCCGACACAGAUCAAACGGAAACCUUGAUGAAGGUUAUACGGCCUAGCAUGCAAUUGAAAUUGAAAUCGACUGCUCCGAUGCAAUGUCCGGACCCCGUUAAACCGGAAAAAGACGGCACGUGAGAUAAGGAGGAAAAAGUCAUAGUAGAAAUAAACAAAGAACCCAGAGGCGAACUUAAUGUGGAGCAAUGUGAAAUUCAACAAGAAAAAGACCAACCUAGAAAGCUUGGGAUCAAGCCUCAACUAGAAAUGUUCGAUGAAAUCAUGACUGUUAAUAGAGUUGAUACUUCUGAAGAAAUUACGAAACGGGAGGAAUGUGUCAACGGACUACCAAUGGAAGAAAAAGAAUGUAAACACAAGGGAUUCAGCCUACAGCGCGCAUGGUGUUGCUUGAGAAAGAGGAGUACUUCAUAACAUUAACGAAACUGUUAGUAAUUAAAUAUUAUUUAGGAUAUUAAAUAAACAUCAUAGCUGACUGCAGAACUUACAAGUGGGGUCUCUGGGUGGUAGCCUGCUAUCAAUACAGAUGAUCUGGUGAGAUAAAAUUAUUUAGAGAUUUAUAGUUUUUUUCAAGCAGUUAAUAUUGAUGUCAAUAAUUCAACAUCACCAUAUCUAUGUCUUCAGAAAAAAUUCAUCAUGAUCCCUAACCUAAACUCAUUGUUUGGAUCACACAGUCCGUUCAAUACAUUUUUUAACAGAAUAUGUCAACAUCAACUACAAUUGCUGAUAUUUCCUUCCGAAGAAUGUGAUUUAUUCAAGUCUCCAUGCUACACUAAAUAAGGAAAAUAGGUGGUAACUAUAACCACCAACAAGGUGUAAGUCUAACCCAUAAUUGAUAAGGAAUAAUUUUAUCACAUAUAUCACCAGAAAGUGUGCGAUGCAUGUUUCGCCAACUUAGUUAAUACUAUCAAGAUGCGACUCCAGUUGUUUAGGUGAAAGUGAAUCCCAACUUAUUUCUAAUUUAUAGUUCGAAUAGGCAAAAAUAUAUAACAUAUACUUCAUAUAUGGGACAGUGCUGUUCGAAUUUCUAACUGGUGGGCCGUGGUCGAAAGGAACCUGAAGUACCAAACAUUUGCUACUGCAGCAGACAUCAUCAAUGGUAUGUGCGGUAACUGCGAAGACGAAGGUUAUAUAUCGAAGUCUCAGAGACUGACUAGCUGACGAGCUACGUGUUCACUUGUAUUUAUAAUUUCCGUGGGGAUGGUGGGGGAGGUCCAUUACAGUGCAAAGAAUCGAACGUGCUCUACAUCCUAGAAAAAUAAAUACUCCAACUUGUGGUAUCCACAAUCUUUUUGCCUUGCAUAAACAAAGUCACGGAUCGCGUUGGAAAACUGUUUGAAAGUCACAACAUUAAGACGAUUUACAAGCCAACUAAUCAACUACGCACUACUAUCAGAUCGACUAAAGACACAAGAGGGGGCCUCUGUGUAGCUGCCGCCUCAAGCAACCGGAGAAAUCCGUAAUUGCAGAACAUGUAGAAACAGACCACGUAAUUAAUUACAAAAAAAAAAUCUGUCCUGUCUAAUCCAACGCAUUACUGCGCACGUCAUUAUAGGGCGAACAUUGAAAGCUAUUCAAUAUGCCAAAAAUUUCAACAGAAAACAAGAUGGUAUACGGAUCAACAAAACGUCGUUUGCAGUACUCAAGAAGGCUAGAAACGUGGACGAAUCAGAACAACCUAAUAAAAGUGCGGACCAAUCAGAACGACCCAACGAAAGUGCGGACCAAUCAGAAGAGAGCAUUUGCAUGGACAACCUGACAUCCCACCCUCCACCAUCGCACUCUCUUGUAUUGUAGAUACGAGUGAACACGUAGCUCACCAGUCAGUCGUCGCUGAGACUUCGAAGUAUGUCAACGCACAUACCACCGAUGAUGCUUGCCGCAGUAACGGCUUUAGAUUCCAUUCGAUCAUGGCCUACUAGCCCGGAUUGUUUUAAUUGAAAUAUAAAAUUUUGUAAAACCUUCAAAUCACCGAACCAAAAUUAUUCAGUCUAUCGUGUAAUUAUGAUUCUGUGUGAUUUUCAACUUAAUUUUUGACGUGAGAAAAAAUUUGUACCAUAUCUACUAACACGUAUUUAUUAAAUAAAUACACCCAUCUUGGAAUCAUGGACUCAAGGAAGUUGUGACAACUUAUGGAGCUGGGAAGUGGAAAAUAAUUUCUUGAUGAUUUAUUAUUUGAAUAUAAGAUAUAUAUAACGUCUAUUGCGAAAACUUUAGAAACUGGAAAAUACUCGCCAAAACUGAUAAAUAGAAUCAUUUGGUACCUUCGAGGUGGAGAAGAAAAUGGAAUUGAAUAAAUUCAACUUGUACUAUGUGAUGAUUAAUUUCAAAUAGUUGAUGGAUAAAUCAAAUAACUCGACAAUGAUCAAAAUGUCCAUACUGGGUAACACACUGAGUAUGAAGCAAUCCUUUUCGUAGUGAAACAUGCAGAAAGUACAAUUUGUGACUCUCCAUCUCAAUUGAUAUACUUAUGUUAGCGUAGUUCAUAUAAUAUCGAAUCAAUAUUUUUGUAGCACCAAUUCCAAUAAAGAUAUAUAACUUUGGGAACAUAUCAGAUAUAAAUGUAUGGUUCCAAUAUAUAUUUUAACAAUACGAAGCACCUUUAAUUUCUUAUUGUAAUGUAUAUCACCCGUUAAUGUACUGAUGUAUUCAAAUUUGAAGAUGACUGAAAUUUGUAUAUAGAAUAAAAAUCAUUUGUAAGUUGUGAGUACAUGAAAUCUAAAGAAAUUCCCUAGAUUUUAUGCCUAGUAGUAUGAAUACAGUAAGUCUAGAAUAGAAAUUAACCUAAGGCCUUUGUAAAUACUUUUGUAAUAUGUCUAUUAUUCGCUUAAUUAUAUAAAUGAAAAGAAAAUACGA